rnacentral:rRNA from 1 species
GACGAACGCUGGCGGCGUGCUUAACACAUGCAAGUCGAACGGUGAAGGGGCCUGCUUUUGUGGGCCCUGGAUGAGUGGCGAACGGGUGAGUAACACGUGAGUAACCUGCCCCCUUCUUCUGGAUAACCGCAUGAAAGUGUGGCUAAUACGGGAUAUUCUGGGUCUGUCGCAUGAUGGGUCUGGGAAAGAUUGCGCCUUUGGGUGUUUUUGGUGGGGGAUGGGCUCGCGGCCUAUCAGCUUGUUGGUGGGGUGAUGGCCUACCAAGGCGGGGACGGGUAGCCGGCCUGAGAGGGUGGACGGUCACACUGGGACUGAGACACGGCCCAGACUCCUACGGGAGGCAGCAGUGGGGAAUAGUGCACGAUGGGCACAAGCCUGAUGCAGCGACGCCGCGUGAGGGAUGGAGGCCUUCGGGUUGUAAACCUCUUUCGCCAGUGAAGCAGGCCUGCUCCUUGUGGGUGGGUUGACGGUAGCUGGAUAAGAAGCGCCGGCUAACUACGUG